rnacentral:rRNA from 1 species
GCUUAACACAUGCAAGUCGAGCGGUAAGGCCUUUCGGGGUACACGAGCGGCGAACGGGUGAGUAACACGUGGGUGAUCUGCCCUGCACUCUGGGAUAAGCCUGGGAAACUGGGUCUAAUACUGGAUAUGACCUCAGCAUGCAUGUGCUGGGGUGGAAAGCUUUUGUGGUGCAGGAUGGGCCCGCGGCCUAUCAGCUUGUUGGUGGGGUAAUGGCCUACCAAGGCGACGACGGGUAGCCGACCUGAGAGGGUGACCGGCCACACUGGGACUGAGACACGGCCCAGACUCCUACGGGAGGCAGCAGUGGGGAAUAUUGCACAAUGGGCGGAAGCCUGAUGCAGCGACGCCGCGUGAGGGAUGAAGGCCUUCGGGUUGUAAACCUCUUUCAGCAGGGACGAAGCGUGAGUGACGGUACCUGCAGAAGAAGCACCGGCUAACUACGUGCCAGCAGCCGCGGUAAUACGUAGGGUGCGAGCGUUGUCCGGAAUUACUGGGCGUAAAGAGUUCGUAGGCGGUUUGUCGCGUCGUUUGUGAAAACCCGGGGCUCAACUUCGGGCUUGCAGGCGAUACGGGCAGACUUGAGUGUUUCAGGGGAGACUGGAAUUCCUGGUGUAGCGGUGAAAUGCGCAGAUAUCAGGAGGAACACCGGUGGCGAAGGCGGGUCUCUGGGAAACAACUGACGCUGAGGAACGAAAGCGUGGGUAGCAAACAGGAUUAGAUACCCUGGUAGUCCACGCCGUAAACGGUGGGCGCUAGGUGUGGGUUCCUUCC